rnacentral:misc_RNA from 1 species
GGUGUAAACUAGGCCAAAGUCUCAUUUUUGGCGGCACUGAGCGAUUAACCUAGGCCGGUCGAAAACGCUAAGUCUGAUUACAGUGGCUGUAACUAUUAAUGUGCAAUUAGUUUCUAUUGUAUUUUAUUUAUUGUUGCGUUUUACUGGUGUCUCUUGGCGAGCGUUCUUGACAGUAAUAAAAAGAUAUUGCGAUCAAACGAAUGAAGCCCAACGUGUAUUCGUACGCGUGUCAUAUCCUAAAUCAUAACUAUCGUACAUUAUUGCUUCUUCCUUUCGUUCGUGACCUUCGGCGAGAUCGGCCGAUUCCCCAAUUCGUGCUAAUUCGUUACAACCAAAAUAUGCCGCGCUCUGUCGAUCACAUGCUUGGCAUGCAGAGGAUGAGACAAAAGAUAAAGAACAAAUCGACCAAGUAUAUCAACAACUCAAAUAUUUCCUUACAUAUUUUGGGUAGUGGUGCCUAUGGCACGUCAAGAUGUGUCUACCUAACAACGGGUCAAACUGGAUAUAUCUUUAACUGUGGUGAAGGGACACAGCGACUAGCACAUGAGCAUAAGUACAAGCUGAUCAAAUUGGAGCACUUAUUCAUUACGUCAGCAACAUGGAACAAUUUGGGUGGCAUGCCAGGGAUGUUGCUGACAAUCCAGGAUGCUGGGGUACCAAAGAUCAAUGUGCAUGGGCCUAAAGGGAUGAUGGAAAUUUUCAACAUAAUCAAGAAAAUUGUGCUGCUAAAAGCAAUGAAAAUUGAUGAGGCCAAAUGUGAUGAAUCAAAAGCGUACGAGGACUCAGUGAUGUCCGUUUCAUAUGUCUCUAUUGCGAAAGUGAAUAAACAGGAAGUGGAAUCUAUUAAAAUAGGAGAACUGGUCGAUAAUAUCAAUUCUUACGAUUAUAAGACUAAUUCAAAUGGCAAGCGAGUACCUGAUAACCUAACUGAGACAGAAUCGAAGGUACAAAAGGUUGAACAAAGGCCAGACAUGAAAAGAAUAUCAACUGUAAUGUCUUAUAUUUGCAAAUUGCAUCCUCGUCCAGGCACACUAAACUUGGAGAAGUGUAUAGAGAAGGGAGUGAAACCUGGUCCUAUACUUGGCCAGCUUAAAGCUGGUAUGGAUGUCACUCUUUCUAAUGGAACAGUCAUUUUGAGCAAAGAUGUUUGCACACCGUCGACGCCAGGUCCUACCUUUAUGAUUGUAGAAUGCCCAUCACAAGAUUACUUAGAGUCUUUUGUAAAUCAUCCCGCCUUUGCACGGCAUCAAACCGGAACGGCGAAUGAAGGCGAUAUACCAUACUGUAUUAUUCAUUUCACACCGCAAAACAUAAUGGAUGAUCGUCGCUAUGUGAACUGGAUGAACAAAUUUGAUCUUAGUACGCGGCACAUAGUCGUGAAUGAGGAGAACGAAUGUAUGGGCACCGAAGCGGUACACAAACAUCAACACAAACUCCAUAUGCUACAUCCUGAAAUAUUCCCCUUCUUAAACGAGGAAAGCUUUCAAAAAAAGAUGAGGAUGGAAGAUCUGCCCAUUAUACAUCGUCCCAGGACACAUCAUACCGUCCACCUGCAGCCACAAUUGCGAUUUGACAUAGAGAACGAGGUGUCGCUACAUCCAAAAGAAUACUUGAACGAAGUAUUCGAGAAUGACGGCUUUUUGGAUGCAUUAGCGGAACUGCAAACAAAUAUCAACAUUCGCAUGCAGUCACUACCUGUCGACGAAUACCCUAAAAUUGUCAUGUUGGGCACCGGUUCUAGUGUACCGAGUAAAGUCAGAAACACGAGCAGCAUACUCAUGCGAAUAGAUCAAAGCCAUAGUAUGCUACUGGAUUGUGGUGAGGGCACAUUCGGACAGAUAGUGAAGAACUAUGGAAAGUCAGAAACGCCAAACAUCAUAAAAACGAUCAAGGCGGUAUACGUGUCGCAUAUGCACGCGGAUCAUCACAUGGGACUGAUUGGACUACUGAAGGAAAGAAGGAAGAUCACGGAAGAUCCUUUGUAUAUAUUUGCACCAGGGCAGCUCUAUCCAUGGCUGCAAAUGUAUAAUGAGUGUUUCGAGCCCAUCCUACAUCAAAUUACGCUCAUUCCAAAUAACGAAUUUAGUAUGAACACCCAUAACCCGAUGGAGUAUAAGUACAAAAGCAUGUACAAUACACUGAAUGUGCAAGUCAUGAGGACAGUAUAUGUCAACCAUUGUCCAAAUUCUUAUGGCGUUGCUUUGACACUUCAUAAUGGAAAGAAAAUAGUAUACAGUAAUACUCUUAAGGUUCGUCUACAAUGAAGAGUUUUAAGACAUAAUAGUAGGUUGUAAGGAACUCACUUCCAGUUUAGAAGCUUGUAGCAAUAUCCCAGAUAACAAAUUGUGAAGGCUUACGUCACCCUCACGGUGUGAUUAUCACACGUGCGUGCAUGGAAGGUGGCACUAUGCAGUCGUGCAUGAGAAGUGGUGACACUAUGCCCUGUGAAAAUCUCAUAAAACUUGGUAAAAAUUGCGAUCUACUCAUCCAUGAAGCGACGAUGGAGGAUGAUUUGAUAGAGGAAGCGAAAUUGAAGCUCCAUUCAACGGUUUCGCAAGCUAUAA